GCUGCGGGGCCACCCUUUAAACGUGCAGUCGAGCGCAGGAGUUAUCUGAGCCUCUUUUAGAGGUGACGAUAAUGGAAUGAAAGGAAGACGGGUGAGUAACACGUAGGGACCUGCCUGCAUUACUGGGAUAACUCGUGGAAACGCGAGCUAAUACCGGAUAACACUUUUCAUCUCCUGAUGACAAGUUGAAAGGCGGCUUUUGCUGUCACUUACAGAUGGGCCUGCGGCGCAUUAGCUAGUUGGUAAGGUAAUGGCUUACCAAGGCGACGAUGCGUAGCCGACCUGAGAGGGUGAUCGGCCACACUGGGACUGAGACACGGCCCAGACUCCUACGGGAGGCGGCAGUAGGGAAUCUUCCUAAAUGGACGAAAGUCUGACGGAGCAACGCCGCGUGAGUGAUGAAGGUUUUCGGAUCGUAAAACUCUGUUGUUAGGGAAGAACAGGUGCCAUAGUAACUGAUGGCACCUUGACGGUACCUAACCAGAAAGCCACGGCUAACUACGUGCCAGCAGCCGCGGUAAUACGUAGGUGGCAAGCGUUGUCCGGAAUUAUUGGGCGUAAAGCGCUCGCAGGCGGUUCUUUACUCUGAUGUGAAAUCUUACGGCUCAACCGUAAAACGUGCCAUUGGAAACUGGGGAAACUAGAGUCCAGAAGGAGGAGAGGGGGAAUUCCACGUGUAACGGUGAAAUGCGUAGAGAUGAGCAGGAACACCCAGUGGCGAAAGCCGACUCUCUGGUCUGUAACAGACCGCUGAGGAGCGAAAAGCGUCGUGGAGCCGAACAGCAUUAGAUACCCUGGUAGUCCACCCCGUAAACGAAGAGUGCCAACGUGUUAGGGGGUUUCCCGCCCCUUUAGUGCUGAAGUUAACCCAUUAAGCACUCCGCCUGGGGGAGUACGGCCGCAACGCUGAAAACUCAAAAGAAUUGACGGGGGCCCGCACAACCGGUGGAGCAUGUGGUUUAAUUGGAAGCAACGCGAAGAACCUUACCAGGUCUUGACAUCAUGUGAACACUCUAGAGAUAGAGUUUUACUUUCGGGGACAGAGUGCCAGGUGGUGCAUGGCAGUCGUCAGCUCGUGUCGUGAGAUGUUGGGUUAAGUCCCGCAACGAGCGCAACCCUUGAUUUUAGUUCCCAGCAUUCAGUUGGGCACUCUAAGGUGACUGCCGGUGACAAACCGGAGGAAGGUGGGGACGACGUCAAAUCAUCAUGCCCCUUAUGACCUGGGCUACACACGUGCUACAAUGGAUGGAACAAAGGGAAGCGAACCCGCGAGGUCAAGCAAAUCCCACAAAACCAUUCUCAGUUCGGAUUGUAGUCUGCAACUCGCCUACAUGAAGCCGGAAUCGCUAGUAAUCGCGGAUCAGCAUGCCGCGGUGAAUACGUUCCCGGGCCUUGUACACACCGCCCUUCCCGCCACGAGAGUUGGUAUCACCCGAAGUCGUUGAGGUAACCUUGGAGCCAGGACACUCGCGAGAGGAGAUAGGGAG
rnacentral:rRNA from 1 species